CAGCAGACACAUUCCAGCCAAUCAGCAGCAGACCCUCCCUCCCAGACCCUCCCACUUCCUGGACAGCAUCCAUUUUACAUUCAUUGUGAAGCUGCAUUCUUAGUGAGCUGUCCAGGAGGUGGAAGGGUCUGGGAGGGAGGGUCUGCUGCUGAUUGGCUGGAAUGUGUCUGCUG